CCUACGGGGGGCUGCAGUGGGGAAUAUUGCACAAUGGGCGCAAGCCUGAUGCAGCCAUGCCGCGUGUGUGUAGAAGGCCUUCGGGUUGUAAAGCACUUUCAGCGGGGAGGAAGGCGUUAAGGUUAAUAACCUUGGCGAUUGACGUUACCCGCAGAAGAAGCACCGGCUAACUCCGUGCCAGCAGCCGCGGUAAUACGGAGGGUGCAAGCGUUAAUCGGAAUUACUGGGCGUAAAGCGCACGCAGGCGGUCUGUCAAGUCGGAUGUGAAAUCCCCGGGCUCAACCUGGGAACUGCAUUCGAAACUGGCAGGCUAGAGUCUUGUAGAGGGGGGUAGAAUUCCAGGUGUAGCGGUGGAAUGCGUAGAGAUCUGGAGGAAUACCGGUGGCGAAGGCGGCCCCCUGGACAAAGACUGGCGCUCAGGUGCGAAAGCGUGGGGAGCAAACAGGAUUAGAUACCCCGGUAGUC
rnacentral:rRNA from 1 species